rnacentral:rRNA from 1 species
GAGUUUGAUCAUGGCUCAGGAUUAACGCUGGCGGCGUGCCUAACACAUGCAAGUCGAGCGGCAGCGAGUUUUACACUGAAUUCUGGAAGCUUCUAGUUGAAAGAGAAGAUUUAUUCAAGAAUUUUGUGUAAAAUGUCGGCGAGCGGCGGACGGCUGAGUAACGCGUGGGAACGUACCCCAAAGUGAGGGAUAACGCAUCGAAAGGUGUGCUAAUACCGCAUAUGGUCUUCGGAUUAAAGCCUUCGGGCGCUUUGGGAACGGCCUGCGUAAGAUUAGAUAGUUGGUGGGGUAAUGGCCUACCAAGUCGACGAUCUUUAACUGGUUUGAGAGGAUGAUCAGUCAGACUGGAACUGAGACACGGUCCAGACUCCUACGGGAGGCAGCAGUGAGGAAUCUUCCACAAUGGGCGAAAGCCUGAUGGAGCAACGCCGCGUGCAGGAUGAAGGCCUUCGGGUUGUAAACUGCUUUUAUAAGUGAUGAUUAUGACAGUAACUUAUGAAUAAGGAUCGGCUAACUACGUGCCAGCAGCCGCGGUCAUACGUAGGAUCCGAGCGUUAUCCGGAGUGACUGGGCGUAAAGAGCUGCGUAGGUGGUUUAAUAAGCGAAUAGUGAAAUCUGGUGGCUCAACCAUUCAGACUAUUAUUCGAACUGUUGAACUCGAGAGCAGAAGAGGUAGCUGGAAUUUCUAGCGUAGGAGUGAAAUCCGUAGAUAUUAGAAGGAACACCGAUGGCGUAGGCAGGCUACUGGGCUGUUUCUGACACUGAGACACGAAAGCGUGGGGAGCGAACCGGAUUAGAUACCCGGGUAGUCCACGCCGUAAACGAUGGAUACUAGCUGUUUGGGGUAUCGACCCCCUGAGUAGCGAAGCUAACGCGUUAAGUAUCCCGCCUGUGGAGUACGAUCGCAAGAUUAAAACAUAAAGGAAUUGACGGGGACCCGCACAAGCGGUGGAUCAUGUUCUUUAAUUCGAUGAUAACCGAUAAACCUUACCAGGUCUUGACAUCCUUGGAAUCUUUCAGAAAUGAGAGAGUGCUUUUUAAGAGCCAAGUGACAGGUGAUGCAUGGCCGUCGUCAGCUCGUGUCGUGAGAUGUUUGGUUAAGUCCAUCAACGAGCGCAACCCUUGUCAGUAGUUGUAUUUUUCUACUGAGACUGCCCCGGUAACGGGGAGGAAGGAGGGGAUGACGUCAGGUCAGUAUUUCCCUUACGUCCUGGGCUAGAAACGUGAUACAAUGGCUAGUACAAUGCGCAGCGAAGCCGCGAGGUGAAGCAAAUCGCAUCAAAGCUAGUCCCAGUUCGGAUUGUAGGCUGAAACUCGCCUGCAUGAAGUCGGAAUCGCUAGUAAUCGCAGAUCAGCAUGCUGCGGUGAAUACGUUCCCGGGUCUUGUACACACCGCCCGUC